AUGUGCCUACGGGGGGCAGCAGUGGGGAAUAUUGCGCAAUGGGGGAAACCCUGACGCAGCAACGCCGCGUGCAGGAAGAAGGUCUUCGGAUUGUAAACUGUUGUCGCAGGGGAAGAAGACAGUGACGGUACCCUGUGAGAAAGUCACGGCUAACUACGUGCCAGCAGCCGCGGUAAUACGUAGGUGACAAGCGUUGUCCGGAUUUACUGGGUGUAAAGGGCGCGUAGGCGGGAGGGCAAGUCAGAUGUGAAAACCCGGGGCUCAACUCCGGGAGUGCAUUUGAAACUGUCCAGCUAGAGUGCAGG
rnacentral:rRNA from 1 species